UAAAUAAUUAUAUAACUCACCAUAAUGUAGAAUCAUUGGGAGCCCUGAGCUUGUUUUCUUGCAGCUAGACGGUCCCAUCUUGGGGUAAUAGGAGACAGUCACAGAUCAUCAGGCAUUACGUUCUCAUAGGGAGUGUACAACUUAGAUCCCUCACAUGCACAGUUCACAAUAGGGGUCACACUCCUAUGAGAAUCUAAUGCCACUGCUGAUCUGAUACGUGGCAGAGCUCAGGUGGUAAUGCCAGCAAUGGGAGCGGCCACCUACCACUCGCUUCCUGCUCUGCAGCCUGGUUCCUAACAGACCACGGUUGGGAACCCCUGUUCUAAACUAUUAUUUUAUAGAAAAUGUGAAUUUUGUAGAUUUGUAUUUCAGGUAAGAUCAAGAUAUGUGGCGCCAGAGCCAAGUCUGAAAAUAAUCCACAGGCCUCGUAAUGAUAAUGGGAAAAGAUGUUUCAAUCAUUCUUGCUGCUAUAGGAAGUACAUGGAGCUGCAACUUAAUUAUACACUGUUUACUUGCCUUGCCUGUCCUGUUUGUUUGCUGAAUGUAACAUAUUUGGCCAAAUGCACUUUUAAUUUUAUGCAGCACAGGACCCUUCACACCAAAGCAAGCAAGCUGAAAUAUUUUAAGCCUUUCAGCUAAUCAAGUUUAUCCACUUAAAAUCUGGCUGGGAGAGUGUGAGAAUAAUCUUUGAGGUCCCUUUCAGCUCUGACACUGGUGAUUCCAUAUUUAUAGAGCAUAUUCAGGAUGUGUCAUACAGAAAACCACCAUAAACACAUUUUUUUUUGGUCCCUUCGACAUUUGGUUUUUGGUUGUGUUGCCUGUUUAACAAUCACUUUCACCUCUCUAUUCCUUUCAAUUUUAGGUAAAAGAAACCUUUUUACCAGAUAGUGACGAGUGGCUACCAUGAUUAAUAAGUGACUAGACCUCAUGGUCCUCCUCAUACUAAAAGGUGAACAGUGCAAGCUGUCGGUGGAUCUACCAUUCUGGGGUCUUGGGGACAGUGGCCCUCUUCUCACAGCUCCCGGUAAGGACUCUGUGUGGGGGCUCCAACUCCACAAUUCCCUUUUGUACUGCCCUAGCAGAGGUUCUCCAUGAGGGCCCCACCCCUGCAGAGAACUUCUGCCUGGGCAUCCAGGCUUUUCCAUAUAUCCUCUGAAAUCUAGGUGGAGGUUCCCAAACUGAAUUCUUGACUUCCAUGCACCCACAGGCUCAAUACCACGUGGAAGCUACCCAGGCUUGGGGCAUGCACCCUCUGAAGCAACAAUCCAAGCUGUUUCUUGGCCCCUUUUAGCCAUGGCUGGAGCAGCUGGGAUGCAGGGCACCCAGUCCCUAGGCUGCACAGAGCAGAGGGGUACUGGGCCUGGCCCGCGAAACCAUUUUUUUCUUUUAGGCCUCUGGGACUAUGAUGGGAGGGGCUGUUGCAAAUUUCUCCGACAUGCCCUGGAGACAUUUUCCCCAUUGUCUUGGUGAUUAACACUUGACUCUUUGUUAUUUAUGCAGAUUUCUGCAGCCGGGUUGAAUUUCUCCUCAGAAGAUGGGUUUUUCUUUUCUGUCUCAUUGUCAGGUUGCAAAUUUUCUGAAAUUUUAUGCUGUUUCCCUUUUAAAACUGCAUGCUUUUAACAGCACCCAAGUCACAUUUUGAAUGUCUUGCUGCUUAGAAAUUUCUUCCACCAGAUACCCUAAAUCAUCUCCCUCCAGUUCAAAGUUCCACAAAUCUCUAGGGCUGGGGCAAAAUCCCACCAGUCUCUUUGCUAAACAUAGCAAGAGUCACCUUUACUCCAGUUCCCAACAAGUUCCUCAUCUCCAUUUGAGGCCACCUCAGCCUGGAUUUCAUUGUCCUUAUUAUUAGCAUUUUGGUCAAAACCAUUCAACAAGUCUCUAGGAAGUUCCAAACUUUCCCACAUUUUCUUAUCUUCUUCUGAGCCCUCCAAACUGUUCCAACCCCUGCGUGUUACCCAGCUCCAAAGUUGCUUCCACAUUUUCGGGUAUCUAUAGCAGCACCAUACCCUAGGUACCAAUUGACUGCAUUAGUCUAUUUUCACAUUGCUGAUAAGGACAUACCCAAGACUGGGAAGAAAAAGAGAAGUUUAAUGGACUUACAGUUCCAAUGGCCAGGGAGACCUCACAAUCAUGGCAGAAGGCAAGGAGGAGCAAGUCAUGUCUUACAUGGAUGGCGGCAGGCAAAGGGAGAGCUUGUGUAGGGAAAUUCCCCCUUAUAAAACCAUCAAAUCUUGUGAGAGUUAUUCACUAUCACGAGAACAGCACUCACAGUAAAGACCCACUCCCAAGAUUCAAUUAUCUCCCACCAGGUCCCUCCCACAUGUGGGAAUUGUGGGAGCUACAAUUCAAGAUGAGAUUUGGGUGGGGACACAGCAAAACCAUAUCACAUGGCUAACCUUUAUUUACCCCAAUAGGUAAUCUAAUGAAGGAUAUGGACCAAAAUUGGGUAAAGCAGUUUCCAUUGUGGUUUGGUUUUGAAAGACCUUUUUUUUUCAGUUUCAAAUGAGUGGAAGAUUCAGUUUUCAAUCUUUACAUUUUAGCUAGAACUGGCUGAAUUGUAUAAGGAAAAUAAAAUCUCUAAAGAGCCGUAACUUUUAGUAACAAAUCUAUUUUUUGUUGGCUAGUUGGAUUUGAUUGACUAAUCAGUGCAGAUGGAGAAGUAUUUUAGCAGGGUCGUUUUUUUGUUUGGUUGGUUUUCUUUUGGGCUCCUGUGUGGCAGACAAAGCAAUUUUUAUGAUAGAUAGAGAUAACUUAUAUUAUUGCUGUGAGCUCAAGGUUUUGACCUGUUUGAUCAUCUGUGAUCUUAACUUCUAUAAGCACUUAUCUAGUUAUUUUCUUUUAUAGUAUCAAUCCUUCAAUUAGCUGUUCUGUCAUCCUAAGCAAUUGUUAGGCAAACCUGACUAACAGGUUUACUUAAAUUUACAUUUUAAAAAGGUGUCUAGAUUGUUGUUUAUAAUAGAGCUGUUUUAAUUUGUAAGACAUUAAUUUGAAAGCCCUUUAAGACUGUUUAAAAGUCUUGACUGAAAAGCCAUAAGCAGAGAGUUUUAUUUCAACACCAGUAGAAAAGUUAGAAAAUUAGGCAGAGAAAUGAAAUAGAGGGAUAGAGAGAGCUAGGAAGGCUCUACACAUUAAUUCUGUAAUUACAGGGGAUUUUUAGAGAGUCUGAAUAAUGAUCAAUCAAGCCUUGAGUCUUUCUUAAUGUAAUUUGCCCAUCAGUUUAAAAAUGUGCAUGAGAACAGGCCAUAAUACGUAGUCAGCUAGAGUCCCACAAACCCUUGGCAUGCCUUAAUGUUUGAGAAUUCCAUUCUAUUUCUCAUUAAUCUCUUGAAAGCAAAGCUAAUUUUAUAAAUCCUUUUGGACCAGUGUUUUAGAUGGUAGUGGCUGUGGCAGUGACUUUUAAUUAGCCAUCCUGAACCCAUCAUUUAAAAUAUUUAUUUUUGCUUUCAGAAAUUUUGAAAUAAGUAAGGGAAAAAACCAAAUUAUUUACAGAUACACAUAACCAACCCAAAAUAAAAGCAAAAUACUAAAUUAGGCACACAGAAAGAACUAAAAGUAAAUUCACUAGGAAAGACACUCCUCAAAGAUAGAAUGUAAAUUUUGUGAAUCCAGAGUGCUCAAACCAGAAUAACGCUUGUCCUUAUACCCUAAAGGACUUGCCAAGAAAGAUAAAAAGUAUUUUAUUAUCCCAGAAAGAAUGCAAGGUUCUUCAUUUCAGUUGGCUUAUAACAACAAUAACAACAACAAAAAAAAAAAGUCAGGCACUUCUAACAAAAAGAGGGAAGCUUGGCCUGACAGAAGACUCACAAUGGCAGAAUAGGUGAGUUGUGGAAGCAGGGAGCUGAAAGGGCUCAGAAGAGUACUGCAUACCAGUUCCAAAUAUUAACAAUUCCUUUUGAUAAUAGUCUUUCUUCAGAUCCCACUUCUGACACCAUUUACGUCAACCUAAAAAACCAGAGAGGGGCUCUCUAAAAGAAAAUGAUAUUUAUUUGGGAAUACGGCAUUGUGAUGAGAAUACAUGUGCCAUAGUAAACCAUGUGCAUAUUCAGGGAGGUAAAAAAGACAACGGAUUUUAAAGAAAAAAUGAGCAAGAUUACACAGUGGUUUUGAGGUAAUUAAGAUAAUUAUCCUUGGCUCUAAAGAUCAAUAAAAAGAGUAAUACCAGUCUGAAGUUAGACAGCCAGUUGCAAGAAACAUGUCCUUGCAGAAGUAGUUUUUGUGUAAGGUUGUGAUGGCCUUUAUGCAAGGUUGUGGUUUUUGCAAUCAUUUGUGAUAGUUUUUAUCAUCAGGCAUUUAUGUAUACGAACCCUCUUUUCAUAGCCUUCCCUGGCUCUAAUUUUCAGAUUUUUUUUUUAAUAAACAUGAAUCCAUUUUGAAUCUGAUAAGUUUCACAAUGUGUUUGUCUUAAAGAAUACAACUCAGAAACACCCAAACAAGAGGAGGUAUGGGGAAGGCAAGUGGAGCUCCGAGGUACUCUUCAGGUAUACCACUCUCCCAGCACAACCAACCUGUUCACCAACAUGGAAGCUCUCCAAACUUCUUUCUCUUGAGUUUUUAUGGAAGCUUCAUUAUGUAGGCAUGAUUAAUUAAAUCAUUGGCCAUUGGUGCUUAAGUCAAUCUCUAGGCUCUCUACCUUCCCUUCAAUUACAUGGUUGGGUCUCUUGGCAACCAGCCUUCAUCCUAUGAUUAUCUAGGGGCUUUCCAGAAUUACCUCACUAACAUAACCCAGGUGUGGUUGAAAAUAGCUUGUUAUGAAUAACAAAUGAUGCUCCAUUCACCCUUCUGUUAUCACUUAGGAAAUUCCAAGGGCUUUAGGAGCUCUGUGACAAAAAUAGGUACAGACACCAAAUAUAUAUUUCUUAUCACAGUAUCACAGACCCUAAUUGUUGAAAAUUGAUAUUAGAACCUUACAGUUAAAGAAACACUAUGAGUUUCUUUCCAUCCCACUUAACCUUCCGUGCAGUGCUGGAAUCUCUUCUAUGGUAUUCCUACCUCUUUCUGAAAAUUUUAAUGGAUAGGAAACUAAUGUCUUUGGAAGGUAACACACUCCAUUACUGAAAUAUUAUCAUUGUUAGAGAGUUCUGAUUUCUAUUAAAUCCAAAUCUGGCUCACUGAGACUUUGGUCCGUUGUUUAUAGUUUUAUUCUUGAAAGCAAUAAAAAUUACAUAUCUUGCCCCCAAUUUAACACUUAUACCUAACAUAAAAUCUGCCAUGAAGUACUAUCAAUGAUUUGUUAUAUAAAAAUUACAGGAGGUCAUUGUUUUGGACUCGGCUCCUGUACUAGGCCCCAAAAAACCAGAUUAAAAAUAAAAAUGGACUCAGCUAUGCUGAAGUACCAUUUCACCAAACCUGAACUAACUUGAUAUGUGACUUAGUAAUUAGAAGAGAGAAAUAACAAUUUCCCAAACAGACCAGUUUAAAAUCUUUAAUCAGCAUAAUAAUGAAGUUUCCUCUGCUUUAAUCCUUAUUCACAAAAAAGGUAGUGUAAAGUAACCUGAUGUUAUUUAAUGAGUUAUUUUUCUAUUCUUCUGUCUAAAAGUAACUAAUAUACUCUUUGUUCUUUGUUUCUGCUUACUUCAGCCCUUCUCUGUCUAUAAUGCUAAACUCCUCUGCUCAGCCCGUUGGAACACUUAUUCUAUUUUAUGAACUGAAAUGUUAUCCAAUUCUAGAAUCACAAAUAAAGCCAAUAGAAGUAUUUAAAUUAAAUUUGUUGUAAUUUUGUCUUUUGACACUUUCUUACAAGGGCUUGAUAAUGUCAUUGGGAAUGACCCAGUUCCCUAAUGUUUGCAUUUCUUGUAUUGGUCAGAAAUGCCUUCAGCUGCAAGGAAAAGCAUACUCAAAUAUAAUAGCUUAAGAAGUGAAGACAUGCUCACAUAACUAGAAAUCUAGAGAUAGGCAAUUGCUAACGUUUGCGCAACAGUUCAGGGAUGCUCAGGGAUAUUUUCUCUGCAGUUCUCUAGGUCUUUAUGGUCAUUUCCUUUGUCUAAGGCAGGAAGAAAAAGGAAGUGCUAUAUCUUUUAUUUUCUCAUGAAAGCAAAUGCUUUCCCAAAAGUCCUGCAACCAGACUGCAUGACUUAUUUACCAUUAGGUUUCCAGCCCUUAAUAGAAUAUGGCACCUAUUAUGUGAGCACUAAAUGUUAUAAAAUUAAUAAAUGAAUGAAUGUCUUAUAUCAACACAACCAUAUGAGUAAAACUCUGGCCUUAAAGGUAUUCUGACUAGAGGAGAGAUAAACAUAAAAUUAAAAUACAAAGCAAUCAAAAAGCUCUCACUUUUCUUUAAAGGGAAAGGAAAACAAUCAUAAGGAAGCAAAGUAGACUUAUUUAAGUGUUAUUUCUUGCUUGCUAGUAAUUUAAAAUUGACAAAGGGAGCUCCAGUGGCACAUGUUUAAUGAUUAUUAUUUUCAAAUAAAAUAAUAAUAGAAAACAUAAAAUAAGUGAUCAAUAAGUUGGUGUUGUGGAGUCUUCCCUGGUAAAAUCUCAAAACACCAAGACUAAAAGUAAAAUAACAAAAGUUUUAAGGAAGGAAAAAAACCUGAAAGCUUGUGAGAUAUCCAAAAAUCUCAGACUUCAUUCCAGAUCUCCUGAAUCAAAUCUGUAUGUUAGCAAGAUUCCCAGGUGACUUAGAAUGUGCACAUCCUUUCAUUUUUUUCCUCACUUCACCAUCCAUUUCUCUUAAUUACAUUAUUAUGUAAUAAGUGUUCUAUUCUUUUACAUAAUUGUACUGAAGACUCCCAAUAUUAUUAUUAUAUUUUGUACAAGUCAUUGAUAUAGAACUAAGUAAUAUGGUUUGGUCUGAGAUGAAGGACAUGUGUACUUUACAUCAGAGUUUCACGACCUUGACACUAUUAACAUUUUGGGCCCCACUGUUCUUUGCUAUGGAGGGCUGUCCUAUGCACUGUAGGACGUUUAGCAGCAUUCCAGGCCUCUACUCACUAUAUGUCAGUAGCAAUCUCCACUCCAGUUGUAAAAACCAAAGGUAUUAUCAGACAUUAUCAAAUUUUUCCAGGAAACAAUAUAGUCCCUGAUUGAGAAACAAUGCUCUACAUUAAAACUUUGCCAUUUGAUAGGAAUCUUCCAAGCCAUGUUUCUAAAUUUCUUUUUAUAUCUUUUUUUAACUCUUCAGUUUAUAACCAGCUGCCACUGUUUACUGUAUGUUAUGUUAUUCUAUUACAGGCAUAUGUCCAAGAUAUUUUGGGUUCGGUUCCAGACCACUGCAAUAAAGCAAAUAUCGCAUUAAA